AUACGGAGGGUGCAAGCGUUAAUCGGAAUUACUGGGCGUAAAGCGCGCGUAGGCGGUUUGGUCAGUCAGAUGUGAAAGCCCUGGGCUCAACCUGGGAACUGCAUUUGAUACUGCCAGGCUAGAGUAUGGUGGAGGGAAGUGGAAUUCCGGGUGUAGCGGUGAAAUGCGUAGAUAUCCGGAGGAACACCAGUGGCGAAGGCGACUUCCUGGACCAAUACUGACGCUGAGGUGCGAAAGCGUGGGUAGCAAACAGGAUUAGAUACCCUAGUAGUCC
rnacentral:rRNA from 1 species